UUUCCUGACUUAUUAUUCAGACCUCUUAUUAUUUUAAAGAAACACUUACGACACGGUGACCUACACUUUAUCUAACUACUUAUAUGCUACUCGUGGCUAGAACUCUUGCAUUUAAAGGUAACAAAGAAUAACAAAAAGAAUGGACCGAUUAACAAAGAAAUGAACUCGGGAAUAACCUUCUUCGCAUUUUUUUAGCACAAUAUAGACUUGGUGAAAAUCACGAACAUACAAACAAAGGAAAUACGUAAAAUAAAACG
rnacentral:misc_RNA from 1 species